UCGCACGCCUUUGUGCUGGAGCGAUAUUGAUGAAGCACGUGUCAUAGGUCCAGAGUUGAUUCAGGAAACCACAGAUAAGAUCCGAUUGAUUCAAUCAAGAAUGAAAGCAGCUCAAAGUAGACAAAAGAGUUAUGCAGAUCAACGGAGAAGACCAUUGGAGUUUAUGGUUGGCGAUCAUGUAUUCUUGAAAAUAUCACCCACGAAAGGAGUCAUGAGAUUUGGCCAAUCAGGGAAGCUAAGUCCAAGGUAUAUUGGACCAUAUGAGAUCUUAGAACGAGUUAAUGAGGUAGCGUAUCGGUUAGCAUUAUCGACUGACCUGGAUAAGGUCCAUAAUGUAUUCCAUGUGUCGAUGUUGCGCAAAUAUGUCCCAGAUCCAAGCCACAUAAUUAGACACGAACCUUUACAACUACGAAAUGACUUGACCUAUGAGGAGAAACCAAUUGAAAUACUUGACCGGAGAGAAAAGCAACUAAGAAGUAAGGUGAUCCAAAUGGUGAAAGUUCUAUGGGCUAACCACUUGACCUCUGAGGCUACUUGGGAAGUAGAGGAACAAAUGAGAACGAAAUACCCCCACCUUUUCUUGUAGGAUGAUAUGAUCAUUAUGAAAUGAAUGCUUUACGAUUCUGCAUGAUCUGAAUGUUUAUUUGAUGAAAUGAUUUAUGACAUUGCUUAUUACGCAUUAUCAUAUGGAUUGAAUUUUUAUAUGAAUGUUUCUUAUUAAUGAUCUAGGUUCUAACUGAGCUCCAGUUUCGAGGACGAAACUUUUUCUAAGAGGGGAAGGAUGUAAUAUCCCCAAGUUUUAAUAUUAUUUAAUUAAUAACUAAUCGUAAUUAAUCAACUAAAAACGAUCCAAAUUUAGUAAUUAAAAAUUUGGAAGUCAACUUCUAAGUUAUUUUGUUUGGUAAUUUUGGGUUAAUGAAGCUCAUAAAUUAAGUUACUAAAUCUAGCAUCAAUCUUGUAAAUAAUGUAGGACUUAAGGUUAAAAAUUCUGAUGGACCCAAUGCCCAAAUCCUUUGAGGCCCAAACAAAACAAAAAGGCCUAGCUUUUCUUUUCUUCUCCAAAAAUCAGAAAACACAAGGGAGCAAUAACUCCAUCUUCUUCCUCCUCCAUACGUGGAAGGACAAGAAUGGAGAUUUCUCAACAAGUCAGAAACUAUCUCAGAUCAGUAAAUUUAAUUCAGCUUCCACUCUCUCAACCACCCUUAAACCACUUUUUUCUCAAAACUACUGAAUUUAGCCACUUGUUUCUUGAAUGGUUUUGGUAAUUUAAAAUUCUGAAAUUCAUCUACUGAGAUGGGGAUUCCUCUAUAAAUAGGGAAGAAUGGUUGAAUUUCUGAAUCACAAAAUCAACAACAAAAUACAGAAAAGAAAUACAAUCAAUGGGAAGAAUUUGAAAACAAAAAAAAUAAUUCAAUCUUUUCCCUCCUCUGUUUUCGGCCACCACCACAACCACCUUACAGCCACCCCCGUCCCAAUUUCCGACCACCUUUGGCGAGCCCACACCCAGCCGCACCUACCCGCACCCAGUCGCGCCCAGCACCACCGUCGCCCUCCUCUCUCGCGCACCCUUCGACCCCCCCUGCACUCUCGCCCAUUCUCUCUCCUCCUUUCUUUGCCAUUAUUCGCUGCUGCUGCUGCUCAUAUUUACCGCCGCCGCCGAAGCUUCGAGGAAGCCGCCGACCGUUCGCGCUGCGCCACACCACCGCGAGCUGCUGUUCGAUUUCGCCGGAGCUCCGAGCUCCCUUGCCUGUCGAACUGUCGCUCGUCCCUGCUCCAAGAGAGCAGAGAACUCGUUCCUCGGAGCUCAGUAAGGACGAUAUCAAGGACAUAAGAAGAGGACUAUUAUUAUUAUUCUGCAAUCAAGGUACUGCUGGGGACGAUGGUACUGCGUAGUGGCAAGGAUUACCACCUUAUUAAAUCAUCUAGUAUUAGUGCUACUAACUUGUAAGGUUAACUUAACUAGAAUGUAAGACCAUAUGCUUUGAUAUGAGUUAUCGUUGUUAUGUCAAGUAAACGUUAACGUUGUC